rnacentral:rRNA from 1 species
GAUGAACGCUGACAGAAUGCUUAACACAUCCGCCAUUGCUUGGUGGCGGACGGGUGAGUAACGCGUAAAGAAAUUGCCUCACAGCUAGGGACAACAUUUGGAAACGAAUGCUAAUACCUAAUCCUGUGAGAGAGCUUUGCGUCCCAUUAGCUAGUUGGAGAGGUAACGGCUCACCAAGGCGAUGAUGGGUAGCCGGCCUGAGAGGGUGAUCGGCCACAAGGGAACUGAGACACGGCCCUUACUGCUACGGGAGGCAGAAGUGCGGCAUAUUGGACAAUGGACCAAAGUCUUAUACAUCAAUUCUGUUUGCACGAUGAAGUUUUCGGAACAUAAAGUUCUUUCAGUUGGGAAGCGGUACCAACAGAAGAAGUGACGGCUAAAUACGUGCCAGCAGCCGCGGUAAUAC